rnacentral:lncRNA from 1 species
CCCUGGUGGCCCAGUGGUUAAAGAUCUGGCAUUGUCACUGCUGUGGCUUUGGUCACUGCUGUGGUGCAGAUUCAAUUCCUGGCUCAGGAAAUUCAAAUGCCAUGGGUAUAGCCACCCCCCCCCAAAAAAAAGUUGAAGAGGUAUAAUAUUUGGCUGAAUAAUUUAAUAGCUAUAAAUAUAAUUAAAUAAUAUUGAAAGUAACUUGAAAAAGGAAGAAGAUCUCAGGCUCUUUUGACUGUACUAGGAAUUCUUGAAAGAAAUAUUAGAAAUACAUAAACUGUUUUUCUGUAAAAAUUUCCCCAAAUCUGAACCUAAACACUUUUGAGCAUACACCUAUUAAAAUAUCACAAGAAAUGUAAUCAGUAUCUUGUAGAAACUAGUAAGAACAAUUUCACUGCUGAGUAGAAUAUCUGUGACCUGGAAAACAAUUUAAGGUUUUUUAAAAAAUGGCUCUGUUCUGAACAGUUCUUUCAAUAAGUUCAGGUAAAUUGGAAAUCAAGUAUGCAAUGUGGCUCUCACUUUACCUCUAUAUCCUGUCUGCAAUGCAUGAAAAAAUCAAAAUGAUAUUUGCAAUAAUACAGCAUGAGCCAAUCUAUGAAAUUUAAUGUCCCAAAGAAGAUCUUGCAUGCUUGAACAAGAAUACAAUGAAGAAAAAGUUACAAUAAUUAUGAAACUUAUGACCAUUAAGUUAUUUAUGUUUUGUAUAUUUGCUGCAUCUUUUUGUAAACAUUAAAUAAGCAAUCUAAGAAAAUAAUUUUCUGGGAAAUGACUGAGAUAACCAGAGAUAAGAAAUUAAAAUGAAUUAUUUGGCAGCCACUGUAUAGUAACAUUAGAUUAAAUUCUACUGUUGAAAUUGCCUCUGUAUUGUAUGUAGUUAGAAAACACUUUCUCAAAUGAUCAACAUCUAUUUCCUAAAGUGUAGUUAUGGAUAAUAUGCAUAGUUACAAAUCAUCAUGGACUUCCUUUAAGAAUCAGUCCAAGGAGAAGUAUUCAGACAAAUAAAUACCUUUUAAUAAGUCAAGUUCCAGCUGUGAACUUCAAGGCAAUCAUAAGAGAUAAACAUAAAGAGUCGGGGAUAAUACAAAAUAAAUAAGUCCUAUAAAACUGGAAAUUUGUGGGGUUUAAAUCCUCAGGAAUCCACAGGAUGUCCACAAAUGCAUUUAAACGGCAAGACUUUCAAAGCUAACAUAAAAAUCUGACUCAUUAUCUUUUUGUAAUUUAGUAUUUCCUCUUUUAAUAAUUCUAAAUAGAGGGUAGCUGAAUUAAUCUAAACUUCUUUUCCAUCAAAAGUUCAUUACAAGUGCCCUUGGCUCUGUUCUCAUCUCCUUCAUCCCUGCACAUCUCUCCUGCAUGACUUCAAAGAGAACUCUCCACACAGGAGAUAGGAAAGGGAGGCAAGAGGAUGAGAACAGGGCCACCUCUGUUAAAAGAGAGGCUUAAUUAAGUACAUAUUUGAAGAGUGCCUUUGACAUGAAAAAGCAGUAAGAAAAUUCAGUACUAUUAACACUGAAUGAGAAGUGCUUGGUCCUGGGAGCAACGUCUUAUAGAGAUUAAGAAAAAAUUUUAUAGUCUCCUCCUUCAGGCAAGCAGUUUUCAGGGGGGUUCUUUAUUGAUCUGUCAUCCUAAGAGAGUCUGUAAAUCUAGCAUCUGCAUAUUGAUUGCUGGUUUGUGUGGAGGAAGAGAAAGCAGAGAACAAAAGAUACAUCUUUCUUAAAUCUGAAUAAAACUGCUUUGCAAAAGGACUUACAAUAUAUGUGAAAUUUGAAGGAAGACAGUUUUUUUGUUUGUUUGUUUUGUUUUUUUUUGCUUUUUAGGGCCACACCUGCAGCAUAUGGAAGUUCCCAGGCUAGGGGUCGAAUUGGAGCUGCAGCUACUGGCCUAUACCACAGCCACGCAAGAUCUGAGCCGCUUCUGUGACCUACACCAUAGCUCAUGGCAACACCAGAUCUUUAACCCACUGAAUGAGGCCAGGGAUCCAACCCACAACCUCAUGGAUCCUAAUAGGUUGGUUAACUGCUGAGCCAUGAAGAAAACUCCUAGAAAAAAGUUUUUAUAAUAAAAGGAGCAUCUUUAUUUUCAUUUAUUGCUUAACAGAAAAUUAACUGGCAUGUUUUAUUAUAAAAAUGACCAAUAGUAAUGUUACAAAGUGUGCAAACUGAAAGCUUCAACUGAGAUAUCAUGAUUCCUUAGAUAUAAAAUUCAAAAAUGAGAUUUCCUGAUGAAUCAAAAUGCAUAUAACUAAAAAAACAAAAAACAAAAGAACCUAGUAGAAGGCUCUUGUACCCUAAAUGAAAGGAUUGAGAAAAAUAGUGAAGUAAGAAGAGAAUAUUUGUGCCAUGAUUUCUAUCAAUAGAGGGCACUGGACUCAUUUUCCACCCCAAGGAUGCAGAGUGGGAAUAAUCUGUCCUCUACCUGAAACCUAGAAAGAAGGGUUUCACUGGGAACAUUUAGAGAGCUCAAGAUAUGGUCUAUUAUUUUGGGGACUCUCUUGUCUACCAUCUGACAAAUGCCCUGAUGUUCUUCAGGACAGGGUCAUGACUUUCUGUGGUGGCAAGGUCAAGGGAAAAAAGAGGGUUUAUUUGUGGAAGAUCUACAUUUUCACUGGUAGAAGGAAAAAAAAAUCAUGAGCUUUUUCUGUAGACCAGGUAGGUGUUGAUGAAGAGUGGGAGUGCCAUCCUGGAGCCAUUUAAAAUUCUGUCCAGCAUGACUUCCUGGAUAGAACAGGAUUCUAACUGAUAAUCUAUGUAUGAAGUAGCUAUUUUAGGGAUUAGAGUGAGAGGGAAGCAGGCCUCCAAAGAAGUUACUGAACAAGAAGUUAACAGGUGUUGUAGUUAGAGGGAGCUAGCCUCAAAAAUGUCCUCAAAAGCUUUUAAAUAUCUCCCAGGCCAAGUUCCUACAAUGCUGUCUUAUGAUAGGGACUGUCCAAGUGAGAACUUCCCUGCCUCUACUCUCUUUAAUUUAGGAUUGGUAUUUAAAAGAACAGAUGAGAGUACCUGUGGUGGCUCAGUUGUCACGAACCCAGCUAGUAUCUAUGAGGAUGUGAGUUUGAUCCUUGACCUUGCUCAGUGGGUUAAGGAUUUGGCAUUGCUGUGAGCUGUGGUGUAGGCUCCAGAUGCAGCUCGUAUCCCAUGUUGCUGUGCCUGUGGCAUAGGCCUGGGGCUACAGCUCCGAUUUGACCCCUAGCCUGGGAGCAUCCAUAUGCCACGAGUGCGGCCCUAAAAAGACAGAAAUAAAUAAAUAUAUAAAUAAUUAAUUAAUUAAAAGAAAGGAACAGAUGAGUAAAGAGGAGAUGAGUAAGACAUAAAAAUCCAUUGUCUAUACCCUCUAACACUUCUACCUCUGAAAUGGCCAGUUGGCAGCCAGGCCCUAGAUGAAGAGAAGAAGAGAUUUUUGAUUAUUGGUGACUGAACAGUAUAAUUUCUGAAACAAGACUGUGUUUAUGCCAUUAACUGAUUGUAGAAACUUCAGCUACCUAAAACUGACAAGUGGAUUUAUCAUGAGAUCAUCUUGUAUCAGAUGAAAACUACUCUCAGUAGAAAAGAAAAAAAAUAAAAUGGAAUGCAAACAUAAAGUUUUGUUUUCAGUUUGCCACCUGUACUGUGCUUACUAAAUAGCAACUAUAAGCCUAAAAUCAAUUUUUUUCCGAAGAAACUACAGCAAAGAAGCAACUGAUUAAAAAUGGAACAUAUAUGUUAUUUUGCUAUGUAACCAAAUUAAUCACCAUUGAACACAACCUUAUUAUUCCUUAAAGUUAAAAUACAAAUUUAAACUCAAAGGGAGAAUAGCUGAGUUUCACCAAGGCCUGCCAAGGCCCGCCUUAUCCUAAAAGAUAUUAAGCCAAAAAUUCACGUAUUUAUAAUUGUACCUAGAAGGCCAAUUAUUCAAUGUCAUACCAGUAAUUUAAAGCUAAAUCAGGGCAUACAAGUAGUAACUAUUUUAAGGUUUCCUUAAUUUGGUAGAAAUAUAGAAAUAUGUGAUUAGACAGAUAUAAAUUGUGGGGACCUGGCAGUUAUACUUUAAUGGCUCAAGUAGGAAAUAUACAGCCAUUGUGUGGAAGGUUGACUAGAUGGCCCACUGAAAAAAAGGUUUUCUAUAUGUCUAUUUAUCUGAGCCUUCAAUAAGGAGAUUCAUGGAAAUCUUACUAGUUUGGCAUGUUGUUUUGGUUAUGAACUUUUAAGUAAACUUAAAUUUCUCUGCCAUGAUCUGUCAAAGAUGGACUUUUUAAAAAAUGAUUUGAAUGGGUUUCAUUUAUUAGAGUCAAUUUAAGGCAAUAGCAUCCUGAUUCUAUUAAUUAACUGUCUUGCCAGUAGAAAAUUGAGUUUCUGUCCUCUGCUUUAGAGAGGAGAGCCUAGGACAAAAGGAGAUACUAUUGCAUUAGUAAUAAAGAGACAGAUAAGGGCUCUUUCUCGAGCUGCAAAAAAAUAGUUUUAAAAAAGUGGUUCUGAGCAAUCUUCAGAUAGUAAAUAGAGACUGUGAAGAUAGUUAUUUAUGAAACUUGUAUUCUUUUCUUCUUUUUGAAAUUAUUUUAAGGAUUUAUCUAGAACUUAUAAAAAUGUCUGACAGAUGAAUCAGUUAUGAAUCUGUCAGUUUCUAUUCACUGUCUAAAUCAGACCUUCAUCUUUCAAGUGGAUCUUGAUAGUACUACCUUUUCCCUUUAAGUUCCUUACUUCAAUGUUGCUGUCCUCUCAUGGACCCUCCACUAUAUUGACAGAUUACUUUUUAAUGAAAAUCUGUUAACAUUUCUCCUUUGUUUAAAACAAAUUAUUGAUUUUCAAUUUUUGAAUGGAGUGUCUCUCAACAAUUUGUUUCCUGCCUUAAUAUAUAAAAUAUAUGGCAUUCAUAUGAGGGACAAACCACCUCAGGCACACUUAACUUCAGUCAUAUUAGUUAUUUGCUCUGCUUUUUUCUUUCUUUUUUUACUGCUCAGAAAAUCAUAUUGAAAUGUAAGGGACUGAAAGUAAUGGUAGAGGGAUAAGCUUCUUUUAUUAAAAAGAAUGAUUUGGGGAGUUCUCAUCGUGGCUCAGCAGUUAACAUACCCAACUAGGAUCCAAGAGGAUGUGGGUUUGAUUGCUGGCCUCUCUCAGUGGUAUAAGGAUCUGGCAUUGCCGUGAACUAUGGUGUAGGUUGCAGACGUGGCUCACAUCUGGCCUUGCUGUGGCUGUGGCUGUGGCUGGCAGCUGUAGCUCCAAUUUGCCUGGGAACUUCCAUAUGUCAUGGGUGUGGGCCU